rnacentral:misc_RNA from 1 species
GAAAUGCGAUACUUGGUGUGAAUUGCAGAAUCCCGUGAACCAUCGAAUCUUUGAACGCACAUUGCGCCCUGUGGUAUUCCGCAGGGCAUGCCUGUUCGAGCGUCAUUUAACCACUCACGCCUAGCGUGGUAUUGGGGCACGCGGUCUCGCGGCCCUCAAAAUCAGUGGCGGCGCCGGUGGGCUCUAAGCGUAGUACAUACUCCCGCUAUAGAGUUCCCCCGGUGGCUCGCCAGAACCCCCAAUCUUUUACAGGUUGACCUCGGAUCAGGUAGGGAUACCCGCUGAACUUAA